AGGCGGUGCCCUGCUGACUUCGACCAGCGGCCCUGGUUUCCAUCUCAUGCUCCCUUUCAUCACAUCAUAUAAGUCUGUGCAGACCACACUCCAGACAGAUGAGGUGAAGAAUGUACCUUGUGGGACUAGUGGUGGUGUGAUGAUCUACUUUGACAGAAUUGAAGUGGUGAACUUCCUGGUCCCGAACGCAGUGUAUGAUAUAGUGAAGAACUAUACUGCUGACUAUGACAAGGCCCUCAUCUUCAACAAGAUCCACCACGAACUGAACCAGUUCUGCAGUGUGCACACGCUUCAAGAGGUCUACAUUGAGCUGUUUGAUCAGAUUGAUGAAAAUCUCAAACUGGCUUUGCAACAGGACCUGACCUCCAUGGCCCCUGGGCUGGUCAUUCAAGCUGUGCGGGUAACAAAGCCCAACAUACCAGAGGCAAUCCGCAGAAACUACGAGUUGAUGUGAGUAUACCCUCCGCCUGGGCUGUGACCACCACUGCCUCCCACCUCCCACCUCGUCCCAUCCCAGAGGUAACCAAAGCUGCCAGGCUUCUCGGUUAUCCCCUUGCUGGAGGAUUUGCUACAGCCCAUUGCACUGUAAGAUUGGGCAGGCGUGUCAGGGCCACCACUGGGGCUCCCUACCUGUGAUUGAGAACCCCAGGAUAAUCCCUGUAGAGCAGCGAUGUUUUGAAAAGGGCCAGGGGGCCUUGUUUGUGUUCAGUGACUCAUGCCCAAGGUGGAGACAGGAGCAAGAGACCAGUAAGUGGACAGGCAGG
rnacentral:sRNA from 1 species